CUGCCGCCAGGUAAGAUGUCCGUUUGGUCUUCUUCGUCUUCUGCCAUGACUGUGAGGUUCCCCUCAGCUGUGUGGAACUGGGAGUCCAUUAAACUUCUUUGAUUUAUAGACGACCCAGUUUCAGGUCAGUGGUUGUCAAAGGCGACAAUGCAUCGGUAUUGUCUGAAGAAAUUUUCAAAUACCUGCUCCUUUCUAGGAUCCAGACACAGGAUAAGAUACAUGUGGGGAAUGACCUUUCCGUGCCUGUGCGGUUUAUUGGGAUUAUGUACUGCGAAGGUUAAUUUUAAGGGUCAAUUUGACUGCUAAGGGAUGCCUACAUAGCUGGCAAAACAUUAUUUUGAGUUUGAUGAGGCAGGAUACCAUGCUGUGGAGACCCAUUUGGCAAGAAACUAAAGGCAGCCACCAUCCAAAUGCUAGGAAAAAGCUACAGCUUUCUGUCUGAUGGCAAAGGAGACACUGAAUCCAGUCAACAAUAACAGGAGUUUGAUGGAAGAUCCAUUCCCCAGUGGAGCCUCAGAUAACACCUCAAGUCUGGCCAACAUUCUGACUGUAAACUUAUGAGAGACCCUGAAGCAGAGAAUUCAGCUAAUCCAUGCCUGGGUUUCUGACUCUCAAAAAUUCUGAGAUAAUAAAUGCAUGUUGUUUUAUGCCUUUAAGUUGUGGUAAUUUGUUAUGCAGCUGUAGAUGACAUGCAGAUUCAAGUAUCUGAAAAUGAGGGGCUGCUCUGAAAACACUACAAAUGUGGGAGUGGCUUUA
rnacentral:lncRNA from 10 species